rnacentral:rRNA from 1 species
UACGUAGGGUGCAAGCGUUGUCCGGAAUUAUUGGGCGUAAAGAGCGUGUAGGCGGCCCGAUUAGUCCGCUGUGAAAACUCGAGGCUCAACCUCGAGCUGUCGGUGGAAACCGUAGGGCUAGAGUCCGGAAGAGGAGAGUGGAAUUCCCGGUGUAGCGGUGAAAUGCGCAGAUAUCGGGAAGAACACCCGUGGCGAAGGCGGCUCUCUGGGACGGUACUGACGCUGAGACGCGAAAGCGUGGGGAGCGAACAGG